AUGCACGCUGGCGGCGUGCCUAAUACAUGCAAGUCGCGCGAACAGACGAGGAGCUUGCUCCUCUGACGUUAGCGGCGGACGGGUGAGUAACACGUGGAUAACCUACCUAUAAGACUGGGAUAACUUCGGGAAACCGGAGCUAAUACCGGAUAAUAUAUUGAACCGCAUGGUUCAAUAGUGAAAGACGGUUUUGCUGUCACUUAUAGAUGGAUCCGCGCCGCAUUAGCUAGUUGGUAAGGUAACGGCUUACCAAGGCAACGAUGCGUAGCCGACCUGAGAGGGUGAUCGGCCACACUGGAACUGAGACACGGUCCAGACUCCUACGGGAGGCAGCAGUAGGGAAUCUUCCGCAAUGGGCGAAAGCCUGACGGAGCAACGCCGCGUGAGUGAUGAAGGUCUUCGGAUCGUAAAACUCUGUUAUUAGGGAAGAACAAAUGUGUAAGUAACUAUGCACGUCUUGACGGUACCUAAUCAGAAAGCCACGGCUAACUACGU
rnacentral:rRNA from 1 species